GACGAACGCUGGCGGCGUGCUUAACACAUGCAAGUCGAACGGAAAGGCCUGCUUUCCCUUGUGGAUUGCGGGUACUCGAGUGGCGAACGGGUGAGUAACACGUGAGUGAUCUGCCCCCAACUUGGGUAUAAGCCUGGGAAACUGGGUCUAAUUCCCGAUAGGACUGCAGGGUGGUGCCUGUGGUGGAAAACGAUUUUCUAGUGGUUGGGGAUGAGCUCGCGGCCUAUCAGCUUGUUGGUGGGGUAAUGGCCUACCAAGGCGGCGACGGGUAGCCGGCCUGAGAGGGUGGACGGCCACAUUGGGACUGAGAUACGGCCCAGACUCCUACGGGAGGCAGCAGUGGGGAAUAUUGCACAAUGGGCGGAAGCCUGAUGCAGCGGCGCCGCGUGGGGGAUGACGGCCUUCGGGUUGUAAACUCCUUUCGACCGCGAGGAAGCCACCUGGUUGGAAGGGUGGUGACGGUAGUGGUAGAAGAAGCACCGGCUAACUACGUG
rnacentral:rRNA from 1 species